CGAACGCUGGCGGCGUGCCUAAGACAUGCAAGUCGAGCGGAUUUAUCCUUCGGGAUAAGUUAGCGGCGGACGGGUGAGUAACACGUAGGUAACCUGCCUAUAAGACUGGGAUAACUAUCGGAAACGAUAGCUAAGACCGGAUAAUUGGUUUUCUCGCAUGAGAGAAUUAUGAAACACGGAGCAAUCUGUGGCUUAUAGAUGGGCCUGCGGCGCAUUAGCUAGUUGGUAGGGUAACGGCCUACCAAGGCGACGAUGCGUAGCCGACCUGAGAGGGUGAACGGCCACACUGGGACUGAGACACGGCCCAGACUCCUACGGGAGGCAGCAGUAGGGAAUCUUCCGCAAUGGACGCAAGUCUGACGGAGCAACGCCGCGUGAGUGAUGAAGGUUUUCGGAUCGUAAAGCUCUGUUGCCCUAGACGAACAGCAAGGCGAGUAACUGCUCUUUGUGUGACGGUAUAGGAGAAGAAAGCCCCGGCUAACUACGUGCCAGCAGCCGCGGUAAUACGUAGGGGGCAAGCGUUGUCCGGAAUUAUUGGGCGUAAAGCGCGCGCAGGCGGUCAUUUAAGUCUGGUGUUUAAACCUUGGGCUCAACCUGAGGUCGCACUGGAAACUGGGUGACUUGAGUACAGAAGAGGAAAGUGGAAUUCCACGUGUAGCGGUGAAAUGCGUAGAUAUGUGGAGGAACACCAGUGGCGAAGGCGACUUUCUGGG
rnacentral:rRNA from 1 species